GUGCUCACUUCAGCAGCACAUAUACCAAUGUUGGAAUGAUACAGAGAUUGGCAUGGGCCCUGUGCAAUGAUGACACACAAGUUGAGGGGGAGGAUUAAAUAAAAUUA